rnacentral:lncRNA from 1 species
CACAAGAAAAAGAUUAUUUAAACACUAACAAUAAUUGAUGACACCCAACCAAUGGGACACCUCAUUUUAAAACUAAAGAAAUUUUAUAUUAUCAAAUUUUCCAUACCGCACAAGUAUUUUACAAUUAAGAUUCCAUAAUACACAAGUAUUGAAACCUAUUCAAUCUUCUCAUUUUUAUUAAUCAUUCUUCUGGUUUUCAAUUUUCUCUUUCAUUCAAUAAAAAUAAAAAUUCAGUUCUUGAAAUAAGCCUCUUAACAUCAUUGUAAACAUGAAGAAAAGGAAUAAGAAAAGACACCAUGAAUCAAGCAAAAAUAUAGUAGUAUUAAAUAAUCCAAUUCAAAAUCAUUUAAAAUGAGAAAUCAAUAUUACAUAAUAAUAUGAAUCAUGAUUAAUACAAUAUAAUAAUAUAAAAUUGUAAUUUCAUUGCUCAUAAAAUUAGAAAAGAAGUCCAAAAACAAGAGCAACAAAAGAUGCGAUCAUUGUUGGCACAAAGACAGUUGUAGCAUUAGAUGUAGGACUUGGAGCUGGUGCUUCUACAUCAGCUGAAACAGUUGAUGCUGCCAUCAUCAUGGCCAUCACCAUCAUAACAACAAAGAAUUGAUUUAUCUUGGUUGCCUCCAUUUCUGAAAAUUAACUUGUUAUUUUCUUAAUUUCUUUGGUGAAAAGAAAUUGAGAAAAUUAAUAUUCAGAAAGAAAGAUGGUAAUGGAUGAAUAUUAAGGGAUGUGUUUGUGGCUUUAUAUAGUUGUUGCAAGACAAGAGUAGAUUAAAAUAAACUAAUAUUUUGGGGAAACUAGGUUGUCCGAGCCAUUUGUUUGUGAGGAUUCCAAGGAUGCCAAUUGGCUUCAUGCUUUUGGAUGGUAGAGAGAAAGACAAGGGGAACAAAGUUGUUGUGAUUUAUUGUUGAGAAAACAGCUAUUUUAAUUUA